CCUACGGGAGGCAGCAGUGGGGAAUAUUGCACAAUGGGCGCAAGCCUGAUGCAGCGACGCCGCGUGGGGGAUGACGGCCUUCGGGUUAUAAACCUCUUUCGACAGGGACGAAGCUUUGGUGACGGUACCUGUAUAAGAAGCACCGGCUAACUACGUGCCAGCAGCCGCGGUAAUACGUAGGGUGCGAGCGUUGUCCGGAAUUACUGGGCGUAAAGAGCUCGUAGGUGGUUUGUCGCGUCGUCUGUGAAAUUCCGGGGCUUAACUUCGGGCGUGCAGGCGAUACGGGCAUAACUUGAGUGCUGUAGGGGAGACUGGAAUUCCUGGUGUAGCGGUGGAAUGCGCAGAUAUCAGGAGGAACACCGAUGGCGAAGGCAGGUCUCUGGGCAGUAACUGACGCUGAGGAGCGAAAGCAUGGGGAGCGAACAGGAUUAGAUACCCUGGUAGUCCAUGCCGUAAACGGUGGGCGCUAGGUGUAGGGGUCUUCCACGACUUCUGUGCCGUAGCUAACGCAUUAAGCGCCCCGCCUGGGGAGUACGGCCGCAAGGCUAAAACUCAAAUGAAUUGACGG
rnacentral:rRNA from 1 species